rnacentral:tRNA from 1 species
GGCUGGUUAGCUCAGUCGGUUAGAGCGUGGUGCUGGUAACACCAAAGUCGUGGGUUUGAUCCCCGUUCGGUCCU